UCUCUUUGCCGUCUUGGACGAGAUAACAAGUGUAAACCGUGUUUCGUCGUUCGGCAUAAUUACAGAUUUCCAAGAAUCCUAUGAGCUAUAAUAACACGCCUGUUUUGUGUGCGUACUUUUUCUUCGUAUACGUACAGGAAGUUCUCCAGUCAAAAGUAAAACAAAAACAAUCAAGCGAUUGAACUCUCUCAAGGAUUGGAAAGAGAUCUUCAUUCUUUUACAGUAUUUCAGCGAGUAAAAAUCUACGAAAGCGUUGAUUAAUAUCGAUUUAAUUACGUAUUUUAGUAGCAAACAUUUUCAUUCUAAUUUUAUGACAAUUAAUUUAAUAUUAUAAGAAAUUUAUUAUUACAGAAAAUAGUAUAAAAAUAUGUAUAAUUUUUGUUAUUCAUCAUCGAAUUUACUCCUCUCUAGUCAUUGUUUUAUUUUAGAAAAUUUAUUUAAUUUUUAUUAAUAAUUAAGUUUCCGUAAGCAACUAUCUUCAAUAAGAACGUGGGUAAUUUUUCAGAUAUUUGAUAAUGAGCAAAUUGAUAUUGAUAAAAAAUAAUAUAAAGUUAAAGCGGAGCUAUACUAAAUAAUAUAAUUAUAUACAAUUAAUUCUGAAUAAUUUUAUAUUAUACAUUAUUUACAAAUUCGUGAAGUAUA